CUACGGAGGGUGCAAGCGUUAAUCGGAAUUACUGGGCGUAAAGCGUACGUAGGCGGUUCGUUAAGUUAGAUGUGAAAGCCCCGGGCUUAACCUGGGAACUGCAUUUAAAACUGGCGGACUAGAGUUGAGUAGAGGGGAGUGGAAUUUCAGGUGUAGCGGUGAAAUGCGUAGAGAUCUGAAGGAACACCAGUGGCGAAGGCGACUCCCUGGACUCGAACUGACGCUGAGGUACGAAAGCGUGGGUAGCAAACGGGAUUAGAUACCCCAGUAGUCC
rnacentral:rRNA from 1 species